rnacentral:rRNA from 1 species
UGGGGAAUAUUGGGCAAUGGGGGAAACCCUGACCCAGCGACGCCGCGUGAGGGAAGAAGGCCUUAGGGUCGUAAACCUCUGUUGUGUGGGAAGAAGAGCGUGACGGUACCACACGAGGAAGUCCCGGCUAGCUACGUGCCAGCAGCCGCGGUAAUACGUAGGGGACGAGCGUUGUCCGGAUUUACUGGGCGUAAAGGGCGCGUAGGCGGUCAUUUAAGUCAGCUGUGAAAUGGUUUGGCUUAACCGGAUCAUGCGGUUGAAACUGGACGACCGGAGUGCUGGAGAGGCAAGUGGAAUUCCCAGUGUAGCGGUGAAAUGCGUAGAUAUUGGGAAGAACACCGGUGGCGAAGGCGACUUGCUGGCCAGCAACUGACGCUGAGGCGCGAAAGCCAGGGGAGCAAACGG